rnacentral:ncRNA from 2 species
UAUGGUAAAAUAGUAACGUUUCGUAUAUUUCUGCUAGUAUGGUGCAGAUGUUUCUACCCCAAGCCAGACACUUUGGGACUACGAAUCAGUUUUUGUAAUGA